UAAAAAAAUAACUUUUUAGUAACAUAGGGGUUUAAUUUUUGUUUAACAAGUAGUCCAUGAAGCCUAACCAAACCGUAACCUUCUCUGACCCUUAAGGCACAUGAAGACCCCAUGUAUGACAUCAUUCGAGAGAAUAAAAGACAUGAAAAGGAUAUAAGGAUACAGCAGUUAAAACAGUUACUGGAGGAUUCCACGUCCUAUGGAGACGGGAGCAGCUGCAGUUCCUCAUAAUGUAAAGA